GACGAACGCUGGCGGCGUGCCUAAUACAUGCAAGUCGAGCGAAUCUUUAAGGGGCUUGCCCCUUGAGAUUAGCGGCGGACGGGUGAGUAACACGUGGGCAACCUGCCUGUAAGACCGGGAUAACUUCGGGAAACCGGAGCUAAUACCGGAUCAUCCUUUCCUUCGCAUGAAGGAAAGCUGAAAGACGGCGUAAGCUGUCACUUACAGAUGGGCCCGCGGCGCAUUAGCUAGUUGGUGAGGUAACGGCUCACCAAGGCGACGAUGCGUAGCCGACCUGAGAGGGUGAUCGGCCACACUGGGACUGAGACACGGCCCAGACUCCUACGGGAGGCAGCAGUAGGGAAUCUUCCACAAUGGACGAAAGUCUGAUGGAGCAACGCCGCGUGAGCGAUGAAGGCCUUCGGGUCGUAAAGCUCUGUUGUUAGGGAAGAACAAGUACCGGAGUAACUGCCGGUACCUUGACGGUACCUAACCAGAAAGCCACGGCUAACUACGUGCCAGCAGCCGCGGUAAUACGUAGGUGGCAAGCGUUGUCCGGAAUUAUUGGGCGUAAAGCGCGCGCAGGCGGUCCUUUAAGUCUGAUGUGAAAGCCCACGGCUCAACCGUGGAGGGUCAUUGGAAACUGGGGGACUUGAGUGCAGAAGAGGAAAGCGGAAUUCCACGUGUAGCGGUGAAAUGCGUAGAGAUGUG
rnacentral:rRNA from 1 species